rnacentral:rRNA from 1 species
UUUUGAUUGAAAAAGCUUAAAUUUUUAUAAAAGACGAGAAGACCCUAUAGAGUUUAAUAUUAUUAUUCAAUUUAAAGUUAGAAUUAUUUUUUGAUUAAUUUUAUUUGGUUGGGGUGAUUUAAAGAUUAAUUUAAUUCUUUAACUUAUUAAUUGGUGAUGUCUAAAUUUUAAAUCUAUAUUUUAUAAAUAUAAAAUAAAUUACCUUAGGGAUAACAGCGUAAUUUUUCUUUAAAGUUCACAUUAAAAGAAAAGUUUGCGACCUCGAUGUUGGAUUAAAAUUAAUUUUUGGUGCAAUAACUUAAAAAUUGGGUCUGUUCGACCUUUAAAAUUUUACAUGAUCUGAGUUUAAACCGGUGUGAGCCAGGUUGGAUUCUAUCUUUAGAAUAUUAAUAUAUUUUAGUACGAAAGGACCAGAUAUAUAUUAAAUUAAUU